rnacentral:rRNA from 1 species
GAUGAACGCUGGCGGCGUGCCUAAUACAUGCAAGUCGAGCGAACGGACGAGAAGCUUGCUUCUCUGAUGUUAGCGGCGGACGGGUGAGUAACACGUGGAUAACCUACCUAUAAGACUGGGAUAACUUCGGGAAACCGGAGCUAAUACCGGAUAAUAUUUGAACCGCAUGGUUUAAAAGUGAAAGAACGUCUUUCUGUUACCUAUUAGUGGAACCGCGCUGCAUUAGCUAGUUGGUAAGGUAACGGCUUACCAAGGCAACGAUGCAUAGCCGACCUGAGAGGGUGAUCGACCACACUGGAACUGAGACACGGUCCAGACUCCUACGGGAGGCAGCAGUAGGGAAUCUUCCGCAAUGGGCGAAAGCCUGACGGAGCAACGCCGCGUGAGUGAUGAAGGUCUUCGGAUCGUAAAACUCUGUUAUUAGGGAAGAACAUAUGUGUAAGUAACUGUGCACAUCUUGACGGUACCUAAUCAGAAAGCCACGGCUAACUACGUG